GACGACAAGAGGAGGGGAGGUGGCUGAGAUUAUACGGCAAAACUUGAUCUGGAUAAUACCAGCGAAAGGAUCAUGUCCUCCUCCCUA